rnacentral:rRNA from 1 species
UGGUGGAGCGAUUUGUCUGGUUAAUUCCGUUAACGAACGAGACCUCAGCCUGCUAACUAGCUAUGCGGAGGAAUCCCUCCGUGGCCAGCUUCUUAGAGGGACUAUGGCCGCUUAGGCCAAGGAAGUUUGAGGCAAUAACA